UAACAGUCCUUACCUAACGAGGAGCGAGUGAAGAUCUUUAUAGCAGUAGCAGAGAGCAGUUAUGAAAACGCUCGGAUUGCCCUUGAGUUCAUAUCCAGAAGGACCAAUGAAAUCAGGAAUAUGUACGGUGGAGCUGCAAAGCUUGAAGAAGUAAUAUUUGUUCUAGCAGACAAUAUGGCUAAUGCCGACUUAAGUACAGAUUUCCGUGUGUGGAUCCAAUCCCAGAACAACAACUUGGACGGGUCGCAGGACGCGGCGGACCGCGCGCUGCUGCAGGUGAGCACUA